AGAGAUAGGGUCUCACGGCCCGACCUCCAACCCUUUGUUGUUUAAAAAAAACCUGUUGCUUUGGCGGGACCGUUCGUCCUCGUGACGGACUGUCGGUCUUCGGCCCGGCAAGCGCCCGCCAGAGUCCAACCAAACUCUUGAUAUAACCAGUCGUCUGAGAAUAAAGAUUUAAUCAAUUAAAACUUUCAACAACGGAUCUCUUGGUUCU
rnacentral:misc_RNA from 1 species